rnacentral:rRNA from 1 species
AUUGAACGCUGGCGGCAGGCCUAACACAUGCCAGUCGAGCGGUAACAGGGAUCAGCUUGCUGAUUCGCUGACGAGUGGCGGACGGGUGAGUAAUGUCUGGGAAACUGCCUGAUGGAGGGGGAUAACUACUGGAAACGGUAGCUAAUACCGCAUAACGUCGCAAGACCAAAGAGGGGGACCUUCGGGCCUCUUGCCAUCGGAUGUGCCCAGAUGGGAUUAGCUAGUAGGUGGGGUAACGGCUCACCUAGGCGACGAUCCCUAGCUGGUCUGAGAGGAUGACCAGCCACACUGGAACUGAGACACGGUCCAGACUCCUACGGGAGGCAGCAGUGGGGAAUAUUGCACAAUGGGCGCAAGCCUGAUGCAGCCAUGCCGCGUGUAUGAAGAAGGCCUUCGGGUUGUAAAGUACUUUCAGCGGGGAGGAAGGGAGUAAAGUUAAUACCUUUGCUCAUUGACGUUACCCGCAGAAGAAGCACCGGCUAACUCCGUG